UCAUGCACAAAUCCUUAUCCCUUUGUCCUCCCCCCUCUCUCUCUCUCUAUAAACUUCUCUCUCUAGAGCGUCCACUUUCUCUCUCUAAAACCCCUCUCUGAGCUCCUCAGUGGCGUCUGGUAUCUGUUUCUGUCGUGAGGGACUCUUUUUCAGUUUCACAAGACCCUGCUCUGUCUAGGUUUUCUCCUUUUCUCUUUCUCUGAAUGUUCUCUCUGAGCUCGUUAAUGGCGUUUAAGAUCUGUAUCUGUUGAACAACUGUGCCUGAGAAGCUCUCUUUAAGCUGUACAACACUUUAAUCUCUCUCUCAACGUUGCGGCUUCCUGUUUCUGAGUUUUUUCUCUCUAGCUUUUCUAUAUGUUUUGCUCUGCUCUCUUUGAAUUCGUUGAUAGCUUCUCAGAUCUGUCUCUGCCUUGCUAGACUGAAAUCUUUUGAUUUCUUUCUUUAUAAACUAGUCAGUGCAUGUGGUUUUAGAUCCAUAUCUAGUGAAGAAGAUUUGAAGAUUCAGACUUGAAUGGGGUAUUCGUUUCCUGAGGAGGUUCUAGAGCAUGUGCUCUCGUUUAUAGACUCGGACUCGGACCGGAACUCGGUCUCAUUGGUGUGCAAAUCAUGGCACGACAUCGAGAGGUGGUGCCGCCGGCGACUAUUUGUUGGGAACUGCUAUGCCGUGAGCCCUGCGAUCGCGAUCCGUCGCUUUCCGGAGCUCCGAUCUGUGUCCUUGAAAGGUAAGCCCCACUUCGCGGAUUUCAAUCUGGUUCCGCACGAGUGGGGCGGUUAUGCGUACCCAUGGAUUGCUGCGUUCGCGAAGGCGUACCCGUGGUUGGAGGAGCUGAGGCUGAAGAGGAUGGUGGUGAGUGACGAGGCGUUGGAGUUGAUUGCGAAGAAGUUUAAGAAUUUUAGGGUUUUGGUUAUGUACUCCUGUGAAGGCUUCUCCACUGAUGGGUUGGCGACGAUUGCAGCUAACUGCAGGAACCUGAAAGAGCUGGACUUGUCAGAAAGUGAAGUAGAUGAUGUGAGUGGGAAUUGGCUGAGCCAGUUUCCUGAUUCUUAUACAUCCCUGGAGUCGCUUAAUAUUACUUCACUAAGCUCGGAGAUUAGAUUCACUGCCCUGGAGCGCCUGGUUGGUAGGUGCCCAAAUCUGAAAACUCUCAAGUUGAGCCAUUCAGUGCCCCUUGACCUGCUACCCAACCUCCUCCAGAAGGCCCCUCAGCUAGUUGAGCUGGGUUCAGGCUUGCACACGAAGGAAGUCCAUCCUGAUCUAUAUUCAAAGCUUGCAGGAGCUUUUUCAGGCUGCAAGGGGCUUAAGAGACUAUGUGGUUUACGGGAUGUGGUCCCUUCCUACCUUCCAACUCUCUACCCUAUUUGCUUUGGACUUACAUCCCUGAACUUAAGUGAUGCACCCAUCCAAUGCCCAGAACUCAUCAAGCUGGUGAGCCAGUGCCAGAAUCUGCAGCGCCUGUGGGUACUGGAUUAUAUUGAAGACACUGGUCUUAUUGCCCUUGCAGAAUCUUGCAAGGACCUGCGAGAAUUGAGGGUAUUUCCUUCUGAUCCAUUUGGUCAGGAACCAAAUGUCUCUUUAACGGAACAAGGCCUUGUAUCAGUUUCUGCAGGUUGCCCCAAGCUUCACUCGGUUCUAUAUUUUUGUCGUCGGAUGUCCAAUGUGGCCCUAUCUACUAUUGCUAGGAACCGUCCCAACCUUACUCGCUUUCGUCUAUGCAUCAUUGAACGCUUCCGUCCCGACUAUAUUACCCAAGAACCACUGGAUGUGGGCUUUGGGGCCAUUGUUGAGCACUGCAAGGAUCUCAAGCGCCUUUCACUUUCUGGUCUCCUCACUGAUCGUGUAUUUGAGUACAUAGGGUCCCAUGGCAAAAAGCUUGAGAUGCUUUCCCUAGCUUUUGCUGGGGACAGUGAUUUGGGUCUCCACCAUGUUUUGUCAGGAUGUAAGAGCCUCCGUAAACUGGAGAUUAGAGAUUGCCCUUUUGGUGACAAAGCACUUUUGGCAAAUGCAGCAAAGCUGGAGACAAUGCGAUCCCUUUGGAUGUCUGCAUGUCAAGUGAGUUACAGAGCUUGUAAACUGCUAGGCCAGAAGAUGCCAAGGUUGAAUGUUGAGGUCAUUGCUGAGCAAGGACAUCCUGAUUCGAGCCCUGAUGAAUACCCUGUUGAGAAGCUUUAUAUUUAUAGGACUGUUUCAGGACCCCGAUCAGACAUGCCAUCUUUUGUUUGGACAAUGGAUAAGAACUCAGCCUUAAGGUCGUCUUGAAAAUCUAGAAAAUAUGAUCAUUAGUUCUCUUGAAUACCAUGUUGAAUGGAGACAGCAGGGCAGUAUGUCACUACACUGGAAGAAGGUCUUCUCUGCUUUCCACUUAAGCAGUCGAGGACAGGCCCAAAGCCAAUCCCAAGCAACAAUGAAACUCCAUAGGUUCUUUCUCUUCAUCUGCACCUUCACAAACAUGUUGCUCUCUCUCUCUCUCUCUCUGAAAGGGACCUUUUACUAAUCCUCAUGUUUGCGUUUGUUUUCUUAAGUGAUUCAUGUGAAAAUAGUGAUAUAAUGUGUGAUGUACUUGUUAUCAACUCAACUUUUCAACUUUAUUUUCUCGACAACUUUAUGGGCAAAUUUAUGCUUUGCUAAGGGUGGAGAUUAUUUCCCAAGUCAACUAUUUAGUGUUGGUCUACUGGCAUCUAAACUCUGGUGUUAAAUAUGUUCAAAUUGAUUCAUCACUACGAUGUUUUUUGUCCAUUGAAUUAAAACCAUGUAGUCCUGUUCUGGUUUGAAACUCUGAAGCUUUGAUGUGAAUGAAUCAUACAGUAGAAGUUCUGCAUCAUGUGAGACAGAUACCUAUUUCCUGAUCUUUAGACAAGUUUGGGACCAGAUUUAUGGUAUAGUUAGUUAGGAGAAGACUAUGCAGAGUGAGAUCAGUUAUACCAUAACUAUUUCUUCUUGCAAUUCUACCUCUUAUCAGAAAAAGGAAUUUCGUUCUUAUGCUAUUACCAGUGUUGUGUAGGUACAUCCGAAGAUGAAAGAGAGCAACUGUUCAACGUUGAAAAAUCUUCAUGCUUUCUUGCUUUUUGCAUUUGCAUCCCGAAGUUGAGUCUUUGUUGCAUUGGAUGUUUUAUGUUCUUCACAUUUUUACAUAUUCGGUAUGGGUUUUACAUGACAUAAAAUAUUUAUAAAAGUAUUUUUAAUAAUUUUUAUUA